CUCUCUCUCUAUCUAUCUCUCUCCUCUUUCUCUCUCUACUGUGUGGCUCUGGUUUCUCUUCUCUCAUGAUUCAGUGCUGAAAAGCACACCAAAAAACCGAGAACCAUCAAUAAUUCACUUCUUCCCUCUCUCGCACUCUGGUUUGGUUCAUAAACCUCACUGUCACUGGCUUCUGGAACCUUCCACCACAUGGAGCGUAUCGUUGGCGGCAAAUACAAGCUCGGCCGCAAGAUCGGAAGCGGAUCCUUCGGUGAAAUCUACCUCGCUACGCAUAUUGAUACGUUUGAGAUCGUUGCAGUCAAGAUAGAGAACAGUAAAACUAAGCAUCCACAACUGCUUUAUGAGGCAAAACUCUACAAUAUUCUUCAAGGAGGAAGUGGCAUUCCGGGCACGAGAUGGUCUGGGGUAGACGGGGAGGAUAACGUGCUUGUUCUUGAUUUGCUGGGACCGAGUCUCGAGGAUCUUUUCGUGUAUUGUGGAAGGAAGUUUUCGUUGAAGACAGUGUUAAUGUUAGCUGAUCAAAUGAUCACUAGAAUAGAAUAUGCACAUUCUAAAGGGUUUUUACACAGGGAUAUUAAACCCGAUAACUUCCUCAUGGGACUUGGACGGAAGGCCAACCAGGUUUACAUAAUUGAUUUUGGGCUGGCAAAACGAUAUCGGGACUCCUCAACCAAUCGCCACAUCCCUUACAGGGAGAACAAGAACUUAACAGGGACUGCACGUUAUGCUAGUUGCAAUACUCAUCUUGGGAUUGAGCAAAGUAGACGGGAUGAUUUGGAAUCACUAGGAUAUGUACUUUUGUACUUCCUCAGAGGAAGUCUUCCUUGGCAAGGUCUGAAGGCUGCAACAAAGAAGCAGAAGUAUGAUAAAAUAUGUCAGAAGAAACUAUCAACUCCUAUUGAGGUACUAUGCAAAUCUCAUCCUGUUGAGUUUGCUUCAUACUUCCAUUACUGCCACUCUUUGACAUUUGAUCAGCGACCUGAUUAUGGAUUCUUGAAGCGCCUAUUUCGGGACCUAUUUGCUCGAGAAGGUUAUGACUUUGAUUAUGUUUUUGAUUGGACCAUUUUGAAGUAUCAGCAAUCACAAAAGAAUGCAGUGCAGCCCUCCUUAUCUUUGCAGCCAGUUCCUGUAGCAAGUAACAGUCGUGGUAUUCCAAUGGAUGCUGACAACCACCAAGGUCUUAAUGCAUAUUCAGGGCACGUCAAAGAGCGCAUUAGAUCAGGCAAUGCUGCUACUUCUGGUGUUAAAAUUCAGUUGAAAUCUCCAGUUGGUAGAAAUUUGAGUUCUGAAAAUCCUCUUGACAAGAAUAUUUUUGGAGAAUCAAAUAUGCCAUCUACUUCAUAUUCUGCUGGUGCUUCAAAUCGGACCUCCUUGAAACCUGCCUUUUCUGCUGAAGCUUCCAACCCUGGACAAGGGCAAGGCAGUAAAAUUGCCCCUUCAAGUAGUUGGAUGUCAUCUCUGCAGCGCAUUUCUUCUGCCAAAUAAAUGCCAAAUAUGCUGAAUCCUAUGAAGAAAAUUCUUGGUAUACAUAUGUGAAGCUGCAAAUGCAUGGUGGUUUGCAUGCAUCUUUUCCCCAAGUGUUGGUCUAGAAUAUUCUAGUGAUGUAUUCAUGGACACUGCAAAUGUGCUUGAAAGUUGAUGACAAAUUGCAUAGAUCCUAUUUGAGGCCAUUCAAAGUUGCUUCUUUGCGGAGGUGACUGCAGCGAAAUCUGCGGACAUGCUUUGCCGAUUGUUGUUGUCGGAAGGAUGCUAGUCUGCUACUUCUAACAGCUCAGCAUCAACCCAUUGGGUGAGAAUGCAUGAAGGAAAUGUUGAGUUGAUGUUGCUCCAUUUUAAUGUUGGUUAUAAGAGCAUGUAAAGUGUCAUCUACGUUGAAGCUUUGGAGAGCUCUUUGUGCCGACGCUUAUGUAGGUUGUCUCACACCUACUAAACACAACUUCAAUCACAAAUUCACAGCACUGUAUAUGUGACCCAGGUUAUUUCGUGAUCCUCAAAUAUCUUGUAACUAAGAAGUUUAAGUUUGGCACAUUGACUUUUGAUUGUGUAAGAAGAGAAUUUCAGCUUAGAUUUCCAUAUUGUCUUAGGCUCCUUGGGCUUGGAAACUAAGUUUGAAUCAAGAGUUAUUUUCUUAAGAAGAAAAGAUGUGUUUAGUUUCUAUGAUUUUAUUCAUCAUUUCUAAGGACCUAAUUUUUAUGACAUGAUCUAUUAUCAUUGUGUUUGGGGCUAGUCUGUAUGUAUGGGUGUAGCAAAGAAAGCUAUACAACAAGCAUUUGAAGGCAGCUGAUUUUAAUAUUAUAAGAAAGAUUUGGUUUUAA